UUUGGGUUUAAAAUUGGCUAAAUAUUUCCGUUUCUCACAUAUCCACAAUCGAUCUGCUUUUUGUUGCUUGUAGCCUUAAACGAAGUAGCCAGGUCUUUGUUGCUUGUUCCUUAAACGAAGCAAUCAGGUUUUUAAAUCACUUGUAACCAUAAACAAAGUGAUUUGCUUUUUUUCACUUGUAGCACAGACAAAGUGAUCAGGUCUUUGUUGCCUUAAACAGGUCUUUGUUGCUUGUUCCUUAAACGAAGUAACCAGGUCUUUGUUACUUGUUCCUUAAACGAAGUGACCAGGUCUUUAUCACUUGUUCCUUAAACGAAGUGACCCUUUACAGAGACGUCUGUAUUGUAAUAGUUGUGCACGACCUCCAUUUGGAAUGGGGAGUAAAAGCUCUGGAGGUUGGACCUCCGGAGGGGGCGAUUGUGGAUGUUAUGAGAAGGAAAUAUGGGGAUAAAAGUUUAAAAUAUUUAAAUAUCUGGACAGCUGAGUUUGGAUUCCCAAUAGGGGGAUCCCUCAGUUUUUUUUUUUUUUUUUUUUUUUUUAAAAAACAUAUCGAUAUUAGAAGAAAAACUGAAGGGAAAAGAACAAAAAAUGAGAAGGAAAAAUAAGGUUUCUGUAAGAAAAUUAGAAAAUAUGGAAGGUCAAAAAGAAUGUUUUCAGAUGUGGAAAGGGGAAGCAGAGACAUGAGAUAGGAAAAUAAUGCUGAAACAACUCCCUUUUCCAUGUGAAAAAGUUGAAACCAAUGAAAAGCAAAUUUCACACACACAAAGAACACCAGACUCGCAGACUUCUUCUUUGUUUCCACAGUUGGCGGUUUUGAAGCUGGAUCCAGACCUUGACGGCAACCCACCUAUUCAUCCUUCAGCUCCACCACCAUACAACACAGUGACACCCAGCAAAAGAAGGGAAGCAGACUCCGCCAUGCCACAACAAAAAACAAGUUCAGGAGCAGCUCACUGUGCCCCUGAUGUGUCCGUUCCACCACAGAACCCUACAACCAACCCCCCUUCUCCAAUCGCACAUAGACUGCGUCAUCCAAAUCAAGAUGCAGCCUUCAACAUGCCCAUGGUUGAAGUAUCUGGACCAGAAGGUGCAACGUUGGUUUUCCGUCCAUGGACUUCUGCUGACAUCACAGCAGCCUCACAACAUCUGCCCAACCCCACAACAUCAGAUUGGCAAAAAAUAGCUGAAAGAUUCCCACAUGCUGACAUCCGUUGUAAGCACAUCACCUGGGAACAUGAGUCUAUAGAGAUGUUGUCCGCCUUCUCUGUGAUGCAUUCACUCAAGCUUUUCCUGUCAAAGUUAACAUGGAGAAAAUCACUGCCUGCAAGCAGAAGGAUGAUGAAAACCCUGAUGAAUAUCUCACUCGCCUGACAGAGGUAUUCAACACCUACAGUGGCCUUCAACCACCUGAUGGAUUAAACAAUAUUCCAGAUGUGUGGGAAAUUCAUCUUUGUAACUGUUUCUUAAAAGGACUAAAACCAAACAUUGCCUCCGCUGUUAAAACUUCCUGCAUUGGAUGGGAUGAUGCACGCCUGUCCGAACUUCGCAGACACGCCAUACAUGCCCAUGACCAAAUACUCUCAAAGAAAAAGAAAAAUGAAGAAACAACACAGAAAGAGCUUCACAUGGCAGCAAUAACCAUGUAUAACACAAUCCGAGAACAUGGACAACCAGGUCAUACACAUAGAGGAAAAGAUAACCGACACAGGCACUGGAAAGAUAAAAUUGCAAAGGAUGUUUGUUUCCUGUGUGGUCAACAUGGACAUUGGAAACGCGAGUGGCCCAAAAAUACCUCAUCGACCCCGGUGGACAAGUCGGACUGAAAAUGGGAAAGGGUUGUCGGAGAGGGAUGGACUCCUGCUGACAAGCCAAACCAACUUGUGAGAUCGAGAGAAGCAGGUGAAAUCAGCCCUUCCACUACCAGCUUCCACAUUACUUCAUGACUUCCAGCCUGGCAACUGGGUGGUGAUAAAGGACUUCAGAAGGAAGCACUGGCACUCCAAACGUUGGUGAGGUCCAUUCCAGGUGCUCCUGACAACACAUACUGCUGUGAAGAUAGCUGAGAGAGCAACGUGGGUACACGUCAACCACUGCAGGAAGGUCCCUGAACCAACAGAGGAAUUCAGCUGUCAACCUGAACGACGUGAGGACGGACGACAUGGAGACGGACAACGCGAGGACGAACGAGCGCAAGGAGAGGACGACACGAGGAAUAACUCCAUAAAUUCAACAACCACCAACUAGAUGUCAGGAUUAACAACGCAAACCUUUACCAAUAGACUACACCAUGCACCACCUGAUCCUGAUCCUAUUAUGUUGGACGAUGCUGACAGAGGCCUACACCUACAAACCUGCCAAGACCGUCACUCUGACAGAAGGACAAAAUGCAACCUUCACCUAUUUAACAAUGACAAUCAAAAUCCAGCCUCAUUUCACAUUUCUGAUCCCCAUCAUUACCCCAGCUCAGAUUAUAACUCUGAUGGUGACAUUUUGUAAAUAAUGUUAAUAAUGUUUUUGCUUUUGUUCUUUUCUUUCUUUUGUUCCUUCCUCAUCACUGCCAUGAUGAUACAUUUUAAAAUCCAUGUGAAUUGAUGUGUCGCAUAAUUAAGUUGGGACUAUAUACUUUAUUUUAUUCUUAUUCUAUUUUUUUUAUUUAUUUUUUUUUUACUGUUAGUGAUUAAUGAAUAAUCAAAAGGGGGAAUUGUAAUGGUAGAUUCAGUUUCUUUGUUUCAGCCACUGCAGAUGCCCAACCUCCCCCUCCUAACACAAGAUGCCAGGUCCUUUUGUGUUUUGUAGAUCGUGAUGUCUGGACUUGGCUUUGCACCUGAAUGCAAGAUCCUGCAGUACACCUCAUAUGUAAAACACACCAGCAGGGGGUCGGCCCUGAUGUCUGCAGUAGGCAGAGGGGUGGGAAAGCACUUCCUGGAGGGCCAGACCCCUACAGCAGACAAAGGGGUGUGAAAGAGGUGGUCCUCAGGUAUAAAUGUUUAGAUCUCCCCAUGUUCGGGGUCUUUCUUCAUCUUUGACCGCUCGUGUGUUGAUUGACCUUUUCUUUGCAAAGAAAAUAAACUUGUCGGCCGGCAGAA